UACGAGGGGGGCAAGCGUUGUUCGGAAUUAUUGGGCGUAAAGGGCGCGUAGGCGGUUUGACAAGUCUGAUGUGAAAUCUCUGGGCUCAACCCAGAGUCUGCAUUAGAAACUGUCGGGCUUGAGUAUGGGAGAGGUGAGUGGAAUUUCCGGUGUAGCGGUGAAAUGCGUAGAUAUCAGGAAGAACACCAAUGGCGAAAGCAGCUCUCUGGGACGGUACUGACGCUGAGACGCGAAAGCGUGGGGAGCGAACAGG
rnacentral:rRNA from 1 species